rnacentral:lncRNA from 1 species
GAAAGAAUAGUGGAAACGGAUGUAGGUAUAGUGGAAACGGAAGGCAGGUCUUUUGCUGCGCUGUGAUUGGCUGAGAAGAAGGGGCAGGUCACGUUCAGGUCCCGACCGAGUAUGGAAGGAGGGAAUGAAGCAGUAGUACUUCAACAGGCAAUUGGAGUAUUAAGAAAUAUCCUCUCAUCCCCUGAAACUGUCGCUUCCCUGUCAUCGACCCUAGUACAGGACACGACCCGUGCAAAUGCAGUCACGCACAGCUCAUGCAUAGAAAGUGAAAUGAGAGAACUUUUCAGGCCUGGUAGCUCCCAGGUCGGAUUAGCAAGAGAGGCGGCGGCUACACAAGGACAAACUGGAGGAUUGCAGCGGCCUUUGCGAUAUCAAACCCAGAAACAUUUUGGCAAUUGGUGUACCCGGUCACGAAAAAGACCAUCAAGCAGUGUUGUCGUCAGGCAUCGUGCAAAGCAACAGCUACAUGAACAAGGACAUAUACUCAAUGGAUUUGAAUUCCAGAAAUCUUGGAACCAGACAACAGUAACUGAACAAAUGAGGGAGGCCUUUGGGGGAAAACUCUCAGCUGAUAUAAAGUAUUUACAUUUAUUUAACUCGUCAUGUUGAUAUAAGUGUCUACUCAAAUACAAAUAUAUAAUUUAAUAACAUUUAAAUUAAAUUCACAUAACUUUUAAUUUUGCCUGUUCUUCAGUCUAGAGUUUCUGAUGGCAUGUGGAAACAAUCUGAUUUUACCAAAACUGCGUGCUGGACAGGAACUGGAUGCUAAUCUUAUACACAAAAUCUACAAAUCAAAAGCCCUAUACAUCAGGCCAUCAAAGCCAAUUUUGGAUGACAUUACAGGUAAUACAAGCGAGGACAGCUAUGAUGAAAACACCAGUUCUGCAAUGGAGCUGCGUUCUUCAUCUCAGACAGAGAGGCACUCAAAUGCAUCUUUUGGCAGUUUGACCAGUCCGAUUGAUGCCGCUCCAUCAAAUUCUACUCCAGUUGUUCUACCUGUGUCAGUGCCCUCGUCUAGCCACAGCAGCAUGUCAGCAAGUGGUUCCUCAAGUCAGCUGCAGGUGUCUUCAGUGGAAAACUGCUAUACUGCCAUUCAGCCUUCUGCCACAUCUUUUGAAGGAAUAUCUUUAGUUGAUUCACCUCUGGUCUUGUCCGGCCAAAAUAGGUCAAGCCCUCUCAAUCACAGCAGCAAUUUACAAAGUACUUGUUCUGCAGUACCAUCCACUUCCUCCACCUCAGCAUAUCAUAAUUCGGCAAACUAUGAUGGCUACCUUACAGUAAUAGGUGCACUGUCUGAUGUGUCUUCUGAAGAUGAGGAAAUGCACCAGGCUAUCCUAGCAAGCUUGCAGAGUGAGAGGUUGGUAGUCAAUUGCCUGUUUAUUCUGCUGCAUAUCUUAGCUCUUUCAAGUAGUAUUCUAAUCCAAAUGUAUUUAUUCUUGUUCAUUUCAGAAGGACCACAGGAUGUUCUGUGCCAGUGAGAGAUAUUUUGCAAGACCUUGCAACUCAAAUUAACCAUCAGAAGAAAUGCAAGUUUAACAUUAACCGGUCAUCAGUGCUGGAUGGAGCUAUUAGAGGUUUUAAACGAGGGACAUACAAUCCAUGUCACACCAUUUCUGUCAGAUUUUCUGAUGACAUGGGAGUAGCAGAAGAGGCUGUGGACUUAGGUGGACCAAGGAGAGAAUUUCUAAGACUUCUAAUGGAUGCUUUGUCCAAGUCUCAAAUGUUUGAGGGAGAAGAAGGGAAAAUGAACUUGGCUUUUGACAGUAACGGUAUGUAUAGAUUGUAGCAUAUCAUUGAUGAGAUUCACAUAAUAACCACAAUUUGUGCUUACAUUUUGGUACUAUGAAAUAGGUUUUUGUCAUUGAAUGCUUGAAUACACUAUUACUUAUGUGUAAUUUCUUUUCUCUAGCCAUGAGGGAGGACAGGUACUUAGUUGCAGGCAGGGCCAUUGCUGUAAGCCUUGUUCACGGCGGUCCUCCUGCACGUUUUCUUUCCCCAACUCUCUUCUCUUGCCUUGUUGAGGGCCCGGAAAUGGCUAAACCAGUUUUGGAAGAUGUUGCUGAUAGUGACCUGCAUGAAAAAAUUAAAAGGGUAUCUCACUUUUAGUUUAUGUUGUGCUGUAUAAUAUGUGUGCCUUUUUUAUACAACACAUUUUUGUAUGCAUGUGUGUCUUGAAAGGUCAUGGAGUGUGAAACUUUUGAAGACCUCCUAGCAACAACAGCACCACUUGAGGAGUAUUUGGCCAAUGCGGGCUGCUUGAGACAGUUGCGGAGUUUGGAAGACAAAUAUCUGCUUGCAGAAGACAUCCUAAUGUUUCAAGUGAUACACAGAGUCCGUGGUCCUUUUGAGAGGUACAUUUUUAUCUUUUUUUGUGAAACCCUUUCUAAUUAACCUUUAACUGUAUGACUGCAAUUUAGGGAGGUU